GCGGGGUGAAGAGACGGGUAAUUGUGACCGCAAACUGCUUUAGAGGGCUGGCAGAGGAAUGAGGUCGGCUGGUAGCUCAGCUGCUGGUAGCUCAGCUGGGGCUCUUAUGGGUCCAGGCCGACUGACUGACUCACGUGUACUCAAAUUUCGCAGGGGUGAAAUUUGAGGUCAUAUCCCGGGAGAGAGGAAGAAGGGUCGUGAGUCACCGAACCCGAAGGAGAGGAAAAGAUGUGGAGGCAGCGGUCUAUGGCCUCUUCCAGCUCCGGACGGGGGAUGGGGACGCUCUGGGCAAUACGGGCCUCAGUUAUUGUCCCACUGUCCUUUCAACCCUUAACCAACCCAGUUGGAGGCCGCCUGGAAGAAUGUAGCCUUGGAACUAGGGCCUGGAAUUGGGGCUCCUACCGGUUGUGUGGGCUUGGGCAAGUCACUUAACCUUCCCGCAUGCUCCCUUCACUUGGCAACUGAGGGUAACAAUAGUAGUUGAUGAGAAGAUUAAAUAAACUCUGAUAAAUGCCAACAGUGGCUGGCACUCAACAGGCAUUCAAUCAAGGCUGAUUCUUCCCCCAUCACCCACUCACCUCAUCCGGCUGGGAAACUAGGCCCAUUUCUAAAAUUCUAUGAGCCUGAAACUGCUUUUGCAAUGGCAUGUCGUGUACCAAGAAUAGAACACUUGAGCGACUUGAAAUGCAACCCCUGUAGGGCAGACAAGGCCACCCUACCAAGGCCCCAUAGGGCUCGGAGAGAGGGAGCAGGGGAUGAAAUGAGAGGAGCGAUUUAGUCAGAGAAGGGAAGUGGCAUUUGUUACCAUGUAAAUUUUUCCCAACAUAUUUCAGGUUGUGACAAGGAACAGUGGGCUGGCUCAAGUUUUAUGGAGCGUAACCAAAUAACAUCCUUUGAAGGCUGAUCAGCACCGGACCAGAAAUCAUUGCAUGAGCUCUAUCUGUCAGAGACCCCUGAAACCCAUUCCCCAUUCUGAAGGUGUAGACAUCACAGAGUGUGGACAGAAAUAGCUUCUCAGGCCUGAAUGUAGCCCCAGACCCUUUGUGUCUGUCUUUGAAAGAACUCACAGCCAUGGUACAUCAGAGUGAAGGAGAAGAAAGAAUCCUUUGCCAUUGCUCUAUUUUUCAUUCAGUUGUCAUGUUACCUUGAAAAAAAAAGGUUUCAUCUCAGUGUUUAUAUAUUCCUCUGUAUUCUCUUUCAUCUUGGAAAAGAAAAACCCAGGCUUCAGUAGCAAAGUCUCUUAGUGAUGAACCCCAUCGUCCUGACUCUGAGUUAAAACAGUUUGGACUUCCAAAAAAGAGCUUUAGAUUAUCACUAGAUAAGUAUAUAAGGUAAUGCAUAUGUUAACUAGCUUGGUGUAGCUAUCCCACAAUGUAUACAUGUAUCAAAACAUGGACCGGUACAGUGGCUCACGCCUGUAAUCCAACAUUUUGGGAAGCUGAGGCGGAGCCCAGGA
rnacentral:lncRNA from 10 species